AUUGAACGCUGGCGGCAUGCUUUACACAUGCAAGUCGAACGGUAACAGGGAGCUUGCUCCGCUGACGAGUGGCGAACGGGUGAGCAAUGCGUCGGAACGUGCCGAGUAGUGGGGGAUAACGCAUCGAAAGGUGUGCUAAUACCGCAUACGAACUGAGGUUGAAAGUGGGGGACCUUCGGGCCUCACGCUAUUCGAGCGGCCGACGUCUGAUUAGCUAGUUGGUGAGGUAAAGGCUCACCAAGGCGACGAUCAGUAGCGGGUCUGAGAGGAUGAUCCGCCACACUGGGACUGACACACGGCCCAGACUCCUACGGGAGGCAGCAGUGGGGAAUUUUGGACAAUGGGCGCGAGCCUGAUCCAGCCAUGCCGCGUGUCUGAAGAAGGCCUUCGGGUUGUAAAGGACUUUUGUCCGGGAGCAAAUGCUGGUGGCUAACAUCCACCGGAGCUGAGAGUACCGGAAGAAUAAGCACCGGCUAACUACGUGCCAGCCGCCGCCGUAAAAC
rnacentral:rRNA from 1 species